rnacentral:rRNA from 1 species
AUUGAACGCUGGCGGCAUGCCUUACACAUGCAAGUCGAACGGCAGCACGGGUGCUUGCACCUGGUGGCGAGUGGCGAACGGGUGAGUAAUACGUCGGAACGUACCUUAUCGUGGGGGAUAACGCAGCGAAAGCUGUGCUAAUACCGCAUACGCCCUGAGGGGGAAAGCGGGGAUCGCAAGACCUCGCGCGAUUAGAGCGGCCGAUGCCUGAUUAGCCAGUUGGUGGGGUAAAAGCCCACCAAGGCGACGAUCAGUAGCUGGUCUGAGAGGACGAUCAGCCACACUGGGACUGAGACACGGCCCAGACUCCUACGGGAGGCAGCAGUGGGGAAUUUUGGACAAUGGGGGCAACCCUGAUCCAGCAAUGCCGCGUGAGUGAAGAAGGCCUUCGGGUUGUAAAGCUCUUUUGUCAGGGAAGAAACACCGGCUCUAACGCAGUCCGGGAAUGACGGUACCUGAAGAAUAAGCACCGGCUAACUACGUGCCAGCAGCCGCCGUAA